AGUUACAUACGUGGUAACUUGUAAGUGGGCAGGAGGUGUAUGAAACAGAACACCCGUGUUUUAACGACUAUCAGUUUCCCAACAUGCAUAGAUGAUUAAAUAAAAUUUAUUCAUUUAUUUAUAGUAGAAUAUCCCACCUUCAGUGUUAAUAGCAGGGUGAACAGCACAAGGCAAGAGGUGUGGAUCCACAGCUCAAAUAUUGAGAAGCCAACAAGUUUUACAACAUAAUCGUUUGUAUAAAUCAUUUUUAUGCCUGCAUUAAUGGAAAGUGCUGCUCUAGAUCUGGUUUCAGAGAAUAUACGGUUAAAUACACUGCAACAGCUUUACUAACUGGACUGUAGACGUGAAAAUACUAAAGACAUUGAUAGAAAAGUCACUCAAGUUCCCUGUUGGACGGUUUUGAUGACAAAACCUAUUCAAUCCGUACUCGCCAUGUAAAUGCUAUUACUAUCUGUCGCCAUUUUGAAAAUCAGCGCUGUAUUUGUAAAUAAAAAUAAGGGGAUUCCCCUACUAUGACGUCA